rnacentral:piRNA from 1 species
UGUGGCGUGAUGCCAUAUUCUCUGCUGC